AUACGUAGGUGACAAGCGUUAUCCGGAUUUACUGGGCGUAAAGGGCGUGUAGGCGGUCUUGCAAGUCAGAAGUGAAAUUCCUGAGCUCAACUCGGGCGCUGCUUCUGAAACUGCAGGACUUGAGUGCUGGAGGGGAUAGCGGAAUUCCUAGUGGAGCGGUAAAAUGCGCAGAUAUUAGGGAGAACACCGGUGGCGAAGGCGGCUAUCUGGACAGUAACUGACGCUGAGGCGCGAAAGCGUGGGGAGCAAACAGGAUUAGAUACCCUGGUAGUCCACGCUGUAAACGAUGAAUACUAGGUGUAGGGGGUAUCGACUCCCUCUGUGCCGCAGUUAACACAAUAAGUAUUCCGCCUGGGGAGUACGGCCGCAAGGUUGAAACUUAAAGGAAUUGACGGGG
rnacentral:rRNA from 1 species